CCUUGAAGUGUUUAUGGUAUUAGAAAGAGCAUGCAGCGGCACAUGAGUCAUCGGACGAUUCGAACCGGCAGUGACUCAUAUUGUUGUGCCUUAGAGUGUUAACGCUGUUUCGACCUGAUACAUUCCAGAAAUAACAAACUCCGGAUCAAAACAUCAUCACCGUUAUUUGUAAUCGCCAAUUACAUUCGACCUUUUUAUAAUAACAACUGUAGUUAUAAAUAGACGAACGUGCUCUCUAGAGUAUCAGUAUCCUCAUCGAGUAUUAUCAGUCAGUAUUAUUACGAGCAGUAUAACCAGUCUUUAUAGCGAAUCAUUACGAUCCUCAUAGCGAUCUGCACAGCGAGUUCUAUGGUAGAAUCGAGUGAGAGGCGGUUGCGACCGACACACACUAUCUGUGUACUUGUAUUCAAAGUGAUUUAAAAAUACAUUACAUUUUGCUCGCCUUUUCAAUACACUAACACGUUUAAUACCACCUCAAGCAUUUAGGUGGUUCAAGGCUUGAACAGAAUAAAAUUCAAUGUAGCUAUGUAUUAAAAAAUUUAUUUGAAUUAGCGAUAAAAUGAUAUUCGGUUGAACCUCGCUAACUCUAACCUCAAAGGAAAAAACUGAAAUCUCGCGUUGUGCAGAUCCUACAGAGACAGACUUAACAAAUAAAAACGACUUGAAGAGAAUUUAUAUAAGACUUAACAUUUUUCAAAUUAAAGAGGAUCGAGGAAAAACCAACUCAGCUUUUACAAUUAAAUUACACAAGGUGUCCCGCAGUUUAGUGUACGAACUUUGCCAGUGUAUUCUGAGAAAUGUUUUUAAAUGUAUUGUAAAAAAUAGUCUCAAAUAUCUCGUAGCGCAAAGUCCAUGAAUUCUUCAUUAAAAAAUUAUAACGAAAAUAUCAAAUGCAACAAACGUAUACGACGCCCUUUUUCUUAUUGUUAGUUAAUACAAAAUAAGAAAAGACACACAGUGGUGCUGUAUUGGUUGCAUUUUAUAUUUUUGUUAUAAUUUUGUAAUGAGAUAUUUGUGGACAUUUUGCUACACGAUAUUUUGGCCUCUUUUUUUAGCUUAUAAAACACACUGGCAGAACUUUACAGAAGUUAACAAGAAUCCAGAAAUUGAUUAAUCAGAUAAUAUAAGAAUUUACAUAAAGUUAGAUGAACAAAAGAAAUAACGAUGAAUGUAGAAUUUUAAAUUAAAUUUUGAAACCGGUCAUUUGACCUGAUAAGAUUGCGAUUCGUACUCCGGCAGACUAAGAGUUAGUGAUCCGAUAGGACGAAACUACAGAAGGGUUUUACGAGCGACGCAAAUUGUCUUUCGACCUCAAACCGUCUGACGUGACAAAUCUUAAGUACAGGGUGGCAUGUAAGUCACUUUCUCGUUUAGACGUUAUAUAACUCUAAACUCGUUUGUUCUAUAUUUUACAAUUUUUUAUACACUUUUAAAAUUUAUAUUUUGGAAUUUUAUAAUUGGAAAAUUCACAGUUGAGCAGCGAAUAAGAACAAUUGAAUUUUACUUCCAAAAUCAAUGGCUCAACUUUUUUAACGCUGUUCCAAAUGUGUAUCUAUUUUCACCUCAGUGGGUACGAUAAUAAUCAUAACUCAAAGUUUAUUCACUAUACAUUAGCACGACUGUAUCUUCGAGUUCUUCUGUUAUGUCAACUGGUAAAGGAUACCACUUAGCAUUUGUUUUAGCAUACAACAUAACCUAUAUUUCGAAGAAGAUCAUGCUGCGACGUCCGUAAAAACUUUUGCUGUCACUUGAUAUUUUGUAUUGUAAUAAAAAAAAAGCGAUACCAACAGCAGUGGCUCGUUGCAUUUCUUCUUAUCAGUCUGACUUUUGCGCAGGUAAUUGACGUACAACUUGACUUACUUAACGAAGGUUAAGGUUAGGGUUAGGUUUGGGUUAGGUUGGGGUUAAGGUCUCCCAUCCGGCACUACCCUUCCUCCUCCCCUAAGAGAACGCGAAAUGCCUAUGAAGGUUCCUCCACGUAAAGAAAACAAAGGAAAAAGAAAAGAAUUCCCCGAGGACGGGACCCGGUGUGCGAUAGCCGCACAAUGUGCCGUAGCCCACGGGACAGAUAUAAGGGUGGGGGGUCUGCAUCUUCCCUCACUCGUGGACGAGUCCAUACGCGAGGGAGCCGGUGAUGAAUGCCUUUGUGGUUUCAAGUUCCCCUCCUCACGCAUUCGGGAUAGCCAUUGUGGGAGUUUUAGGCAGUAGGAAUCCGACAUUAGCGGCUUUCCCCAGAAGGCGCGGGAUGUCCAUGAAGGUUUCCUGCGCGUAUAAAAAAAACUAGGGGAAGUUAGAGUUAGGGUUAGGUUAGGAUUCCCCAACACAUUUCGGUAGGAUGCAUAAACUGUGUUGAGGUAAGAUGCCGAUGUUAUAUUGAUUGCAACUUAUUUAUUUUGGUAAUCAAUGUAUAUUUAUCCACCUGUGUAUCUAGUAAACGAUGCAAAUCUACGUGAGAAAACCGAACAGAGGAAGAUGGGCGGAGGAUUAUCUUGGAUCUGCUGCACUAACAUCGAAGGAUAAAGCUAGAAGUGCAAAUAGGAAAUACCACACUAUUUCUUGUUUCGUUUGCGUCUUCUCCAACGAUUGAUUCGGGUUGAGACGACAUCAAUAUGAUGUUAAAAAAUAAGACGAAAAAUGAGAUUAAUAUGCCUGACGAAUAAGUUCUUUAUAUUGCAAAUGUAUAUGUAAUGUAUGUAAUGUAACGUAUAUGUAAUGUGUAUGAGAAGAAUUCAUGCUUGCAUGGGUUAGUAUUUGGUUUCUGUCAAUUUAGUAGUUUUCGUUUAAUAGUGUAUGAUUAGAAUAACAAAUAAAGUUUGUUGAUUUGAUAGAAA